AUUGAACGCUGGCGGCAGGCCUAACACAUGCAAGUCGAAUGGUAACAGGAAACAGCUUGCUGUUUCGCUGACGAGUGGCGGACGGGUGAGUAAUGUCUGGGAAACUGCCUGAUGGAGGGGGAUAACUACUGGAAACGGUAGCUAAUACCGCAUAACGUCGCAAGACCAAAAGAGGGGGGAACCUUCGGGGCCUCUUGCCAUCAGAUGUGCCCAGAUGGGAUUAGCUAGUAGGUGGGGUAACGGCUCACCUAGGCGACGAUCCCUAGCUGGUCUGAGAGGAUGACCAGCCACGACUGGAACUGAGACACGGUCCAGACUCCUACGGGAGGC
rnacentral:rRNA from 1 species